rnacentral:rRNA from 1 species
CAGUCGCCGCGGGAAUACGUAGGGCGCAAGCGUUAUCCGGAAUUAUUGGGCGUAAAGAGCUCGUAGGCGGUUUGUCGCGUCUGCCGUGAAAGUCCGGGGCUCAACCCCGGAUCUGCGGUGGGUACGGGCAGACUAGAGUGAUGUAGGGGAGACUGGAAUUCCUGGUGUAGCGGUGAAAUGCGCAGAUAUCAGGAGGAACACCGAUGGCGAAGGCAGGUCUCUGGGCAUUAACUGACGCUGAGGUACGAAAGCAUGGGGAGCAAACAGGAUUAGAUACCCCUGUAGUCCCUGUCUCUUAUAC